rnacentral:rRNA from 1 species
UACGUAGGUGGCAAGCGUUGUCCGGAUUUACUGGGCGUAAAGAGCGCGCAGGCGGUCGUUCAAGUCGCGUGUGAAAGCCCCCGGCUCAACUGGGGAGGGUCACGCGAUACUGAUCGACUCGAAGGCAGGAGAGGGUAGUGGAAUUCCCGGUGUAGUGGUGAAAUGCGUAGAUAUCGGGAGGAACACCCGUGGCGAAGGCGGCUCUCUGGGACGGUACUGACGCUGAGACGCGAAAGCGUGGGGAGCGAACAGG